UUUGCAUCCCUGUCUCUGCGUGUCUUUUCUCUUGUUUGCAUCCCUGUCUCUGCGUCUUUCCUCUUGUUUGCAUCCCUGUCUCUGCGUGUCUUUUCUCUUCUCUAGGGAUUAAAUUAUUUUUUAUAUAAAGCUAUGAUCUCCCAGCAGUCCUUCUGUUGGAACCACACCCUCCCCUCGGUCCAUUCCUCUCAUGGGACUGGCGGCCAACCAACAGCAGCACGGCUGUUAUAUAGCGCCUUUCAAGAGCAGCUCCUCUCACGAGAGCCGAACACAUUUUAGCAGAGCAAAUGAAAAUGAAUAAUUAAAAAUGAAGCAAAACAAGUUAUUCCUUUAGUGAGAUACAAACACCUCAUGGCUUCCCAAUGACAUCGAGGUCCUUCCACCACUACCACCCCUGCCAUCACAUUCAGCUUCUUUAAUGCUGGGGGGGGAAAGGAGGGCGACAGAGUAAUAGUAAAAAUAUUGUUUUUAUUUGUCAUUGGGAGGGGGGGGACGGGGACGACACAAUACAAAAAACAGCAGAGAAGGUCCCGUGUAGAAAUCACACGCUCAGUAAAGGCUCAGUAAUGGUUAUUAUUGCAGGUUUCAUUUCAAAAAGUGUAGCUAGACAAAACUCAGCCAGCUAAAUGAAGUAUUGAAUACAAUAAAAAAAAAAAAAUCAGCACACACUCACACACACACACACUCACUCACACUCACUCACACGCGCACACUCACACAACACUCGAAUACAAACAGGACACUUCAAAUCCAGCAUUAAAAGAACAUUAAUAAUAAUAAUACAUUACAAAAAAGUUAUAUAUAUAUCUCACACAAGAAACAGCUCCACAGAUGUGUGGGUAUUAACAGGAACGGUACAAAAGCACAAAUAAACAUCAAAAGCAAUGCGUAGGAAUGCUUAAACUUCACACCUGCAGGUUGCUUGGAUACCGUACAAAACAUUUAUAAAAAAAACAAACACAAAAAAACACACAGACCUGUAGAAACACUUUGAUGCGUUUAUCCUUUUUGGUGGCUGUACCUUAUUUUGGUUAAAUUGAAGAUGUACAGAGACAUUUCUAUACUGUCUAGAACUUGUUUGCGCACUAAUGAAUGAGCAGUCCUCCAGACACACUAAACAUGCAAGACUGAGGGGAGUGUACAGCAGCAGGGCUGAAUCAGUCCACACAGAGGAGAAGAAGGGGUCUUCUUGUCACUGGUGAAUAUACUGUUGGAUCAGAAGGAAAUGCAUGUGAAGGCCAGUGGUGUAACACAGCUGUGCUUUGGGCAGGUACGCUGAAUCCAGUUCUAGUUUUGCCUUCCUGCUGACAGCCACCAGGAGCACACCGCAGGUUAUACGAGUCUAAAGAGCGGCCCAGCUGGCUCUCAAAUAACCAGCAGCUUUGAGAAGCACAGAGUGCUUGAAAACAGCAUUUAAAAAGCUGCUUUGAGAAGCACAGAGUGCUUGAAAACAGCAUUUAAAAAGCUGCUUUGAGAAGCACAGAGUGCUUGAAAACAGCAUUUAAAAAGCUGCUUUGCUCCUCACUGUGCUUCUCAGCUUGUUACUUUGAGUUCCUCUGCCCACACGCUGCCUCCAGGACUUCCUUCCAGUCGAAAAGCUAAAGCUUUGUUCUUAUUAUUCUCUACUUCAUUCUAUUCAAAUAGUGCAGGCUUUUUCCUUUUAGACACAAUGCAUGAAUAUGUGUUUACACACACAGUACAGUACAUGAGGUAGCCCUAGUGUUACUGGUCAGAACAACCUAGUUGUAUUUCUUGGUAACUGGCUGCUGGCAAGCCCUGAUGUUCUCUGCUUAAUGUCCACAUUAAAAGAAAUGCUUCAGACCCUGGGAAUCGGCAGAAUCUGUUUCAGUUUAUCAUCAUCAUAUAAUGAUAUGUGUUCUUAAACAUUACUGGUUUCCAAUACAGUAAUACAAAACAAACAGAAACACAGACAGUCAGCACAGCCCCUAAGCAGAUCCAGCAGUAGAUACCACUGUGCUGUUCACAGGAUUAAGUAUUAUUGGAACAGAAUACAGUCCAGGCAUCAGGGUUCCAGGACAGAGGUCUCCGUGGUUACGAUCCACAGCAGCCAGCAGGCAUUAGCACGUGGCUGUUUAACUGGUGCAUCCUGUACUCUCUGGUAUAAGAAGCUCAGUGUAAACUGGGAGUGGGUUAGAUCUCGUGGAAGCUCAUUCUGCCACCAAAAAAAAACAACAAACCAGCUAAUCUCGGAAUUCUGACUUGAAGAAUCAGAACUCUAGGUUAGAGUCUCAGAAUUCGGAUUGGCUCAGGUCAGAAUUCUGACUUGAAGAAUCAGAACUCCGGGUUAGAGUCUCAGAAUUCGGAUUGGCUCAGGUCAGAAUUCUGACUUGAAGAAUCAGAACUCCGGGUUAGAGUCUCAGAAUUCGGAUUGGCUCAGGUCAGAAUUCUGACUUGAAGAGGUUUUUUUUGGUGGUGGAAUGGGCUUCCAUAAGACCAAGAGCAAUUUGGAGCAUGCAAAAAAAAGUUUAAAAUAAUACAAUUAUUGAAAAUAUUUGAGAUCUAACUGGCUUGGAGUUUGCAGCGCUUCGAUACAACAGCAC